UGGCAAAACGAAACCACCNGUCUCUCUUUAUUUAAAUCAGUGAAAUUAANNUUUCCGUGCAGAAACGGGAAUAUAUUCAUAAGACGAGAAGACCCUAUGGAGCUUUAAACUUCCAUUAAUUAUACAAUAAAUAAAUCAAAAGAUAAAAAAUAUAAAAUAUAAUAUAUUAAAAAGUUUUCGGUUGGGGCGACCGCGGAAAAACAAAACUUCCGACCAUGGAAUAUAAAUUAGAAAAACAUUUCAAAUUUAAAAUAUUUAACAUAAUUGAUCCAAUAUUUGAUCAACGAACCAAGUUACCCUAGGGAUAACAGCGCAAUCCUCUCCAAAAGUUCAUAUCGACGAGUGGGUUUACGACCUCGAUGUUGGAUCAGNACACCCAAAUGGUGNAANCGCUAUUAAAGGUUNGUUUGUU
rnacentral:rRNA from 1 species